rnacentral:snRNA from 1 species
AUGCUCUGUUUGAUCUCAAUUCCGAACGUCCCCCUCGCCUUUUACUAGGGAGACCCGGGGAUCAGGCAGGCCAAUGCACGAAAUCAAUCUUUCGUGAUCACCUCCGGGUGGGA